rnacentral:rRNA from 1 species
AACGAACGUUGGCGGCGCGCCUAACACAUGCAAGUCGCACGCGAAAGGGAGCAAUCCCCGGUAGAGUGGCGCACGGGUGAGUAACACGUGGGUAAUCUUCCCUCGAGCGGGGGAUAACCUUCCGAAAGGAGGGCUAAUACCGCAUAAGACCACGGGCUGUACGCAGCCUGAGGUCAAAGCUGGCCUCUACAUGUAAGCUAGCACUUGAGGAUGAGCCCGCGGCCCAUCAGCUAGUUGGUAGUGUAAAAGACUACCAAGGCUAAGACGGGUAGCUGGUCUGAGAGGAUGAUCAGCCACACUGGAACUGAGACACGGUCCAGACUCCUACGGGAGGCAGCAGUGGGGAAUCUUGCGCAAUGGGCGAAAGCCUGACGCAGCGACGCCGCGUGGGUGAUGAAGGCCUUCGGGUUGUAAAGCCCUGUGGGGAGGGACGAAUAACGCCGACCUAAUACGUCGGUGGAUGACGGUACCUCCUUAGCAAGCACCGGCUAACUCUGUGCCAGCCGCCGCCGUAAUAC